UUCGCCCUUAGAGUUUGAUCCUGGCUCAGGAUGAACGCUGGCGGCGUGCUUAACACAUGCAAGUCGAACGAUUGAAGCUGGAGCUUGCUCCGGCCGAUUUAGUGGCGGACGGGUGAGUAACGCGUGGGUAACCUGCCUCAUACAGGGGGAUAGCAGUUGGAAACGACUGGUAAAACCGCAUAAGCGCACGGUGUCGCAUGACACAGUGUGAAAACACUCCGGUGGUAUGAGAUGGACCCGCGUCUGAUUAGCUAGUUGGUGAGGUAACGGCCCACCAAGGCGACGAUCGGUAGCCGGACUGAGAGGUUGAACGGCCACAUUGGGACUGAGACACGGCCCAGACUCCUACGGGAGGCAGCAGUGGGGAAUAUUGCACAAUGGGGGAAACCCUGAUGCAGCGACGCCGCGUGGAGGAAGAAGGUCUUCGGAUUGUAAACUCCUGUUGUUGAGGAAGAUAAUGACGGUACUCAACAAGGAAGUGACGGCUAACUACGUGCCAGCAGCCGCGGUAAAACGUAGGUCACAAGCGUUGUCCGGAAUUACUGGGUGUAAAGGGAGCGCAGGCGGGAAGGCAAGUUGGAAGUGAAAUCCAUGGGCUCAACCCAUGAACUGCUUUCAAAACUGUUUUUCUUGAGUAGUGCAGAGGUAGGCGGAAUUCCCGGUGUAGCGGUGGAAUGCGUAGAUAUCGGGAGGAACACCAGUGGCGAAGGCGGCCUACUGGGCACCAACUGACGCUGAGGCUCGAAAGUGUGGGUAGCAAACCAGGAUUAGAUACCCUGGUAGUCCACACUGUAAACGAUGAUUACUAGGUGUUGGAGGAUUGACCCCUUCAGUGCCGCAGUUAACACAAUAAGUAAUCCACCUGGGGAGUACGACCGCAAGGUUGAAACUCAAAGGAAUUGACGGGGGCCCGCACAAGCAGUGGAGUAUGUGGUUUAAUUCGACGCAACGCGAAGAACCUUACCAAGUCUUGACAUCCUGCGACGCACAUAGAAAUAUGUGUUUCCUUCGGGACGCAGAGACAGGUGGUGCAUGGUUGUCGUCAGCUCGUGUCGUGAGAUGUUGGGUUAAGUCCCGCAACGAGCGCAACCCUUAUGGUCAGUUACUACGCAAGAGGACUCUGGCCAGACUGCCGUUGACAAAACGGAGGAAGGUGGGGAUGACGUCAAAUCAUCAUGCCCUUUAUGACUUGGGCUACACACGUACUACAAUGGCGUUAAACAAAGAGAAGCAAGACCGCGAGGUGGAGCAAAACUCAGAAACAACGUCCCAGUUCGGACAGCAGGCUGCAACUCGCCUGCACGAAGUCGGAAUUGCUAGUAAUCGCAGAUCAGCAUGCUGCGGUGAAUACAAACCCGGGCCUUGUACACACCGCCCGUCA
rnacentral:rRNA from 1 species